GUCUAGCCACACAACAAGAAAGUAGAUGCAUGAAGAUUCUGUAUGCUUCUACUAAUAUAAUAUAAAAAAGCUCGUGGGUUAAAGUAUCUUACGAAUGAACGCAGUAACACACAUACACGAAUGUAUGAAACAUUUUGUUGUUUCUCGUUUUUAAUAAAAGUUUAUUUUUAUUUGUGUUGUUAUGUUCUCCGUAUUUUUUUGUUGUUUUUUAAUUGUUUGAAAAAGAGUAAAAAGAGAAUUAUGAAAUCGAAACGUGCUCAAAAACCGCAAUGUGUAUUGCGUAUGCAAAUUGUACGGUAAAUUACUCGGAAAGUUGUUGCUUCGCGGCUGUGAAAGUUAAAACUUUUAUUGUAAAAGUAACGAGUAACAUUGCAGACGAGUAACGAGUAUUUUCUGUUUAUUUAUUUAAAUAUAUUUCAAAUUUUUAUACUCUCGCAAGAAAAGUUGCUAAAGAGAGUAUUAUAGUUUUGUCCACAUAACGGUUGUUUGUAGCACCCAAAACUAAACGAGUUAGAUAUAGGGUUAUAUAUACCAAAGUGAUCAGGGUGACGAGUAAAGUCCGUCCGUGCAAGCUGUAACUUGAGUAAAAAUUGAGACAUCUUAAUGAAACUUGGAACACGUAUUCCUUGGCACCAUAAGAAGGUUAAGUUCGAAAAUGGGCGGAAUCGGACCACUGCCAUGCCCACAAAAUGGCGAUAACCGAAAACACAUAAAGAGCUAUAACUAAUCCAUAAAUUAAGCUAUGAAAGCAAAAUUUGGUACAAACGAUUGUUCUAGGAAGGGGCAUAUUUAAAUGUAAUUUUUUUGAGAAAGUGGGCGUGGCCCCGCCCCCUACCAAAUUUUUUGUACAUAUCUCGUAAACUACUAAAACUAUAUAAACGAAACUCUCAGGAGUGAUUUUUCAGGUAUUUCCUUAUAUCGACCAAAAAUGGAGGAAAUCGGAUAGUAACCACGCAGACCUCCCAUACAAAGGUAAUGUUUAAAACUACUAAAAAUGCUUUAAUUCAGUAAGGAAAACCAACAGAAACCUUAAAUUUCAUUAUAAAGAAGGUACAGAAGAGCUGCACUCAAAAUGAUAAAUAUAUAUAUUUGGCGUAGGAACCGCUUUCAGCGAUUAUAGCCGAAUCCACCAGAGCGCGCCACUCAUUCCUCCUUUUUUGCUUUUUGGCGCCAACUGGAAACACCAAGUGAAGCCAGGUCACUUUGCACUUGGUCUUUCCACCGGUGUGGAGGUCGUCCUCUUCCGCGGCUUCCUCCAGCGGGUACUGCAUCGAAUACUUUCAGAGCUGGAGUGUUUUCUUCCAUCCGUACAACAUGACCUAGCCAGCGUAGCCGCUGUCUUUUUAUUCGCUGAACUAUGUCAAUGUCGUCGUAUAAAUCGUACAGCUCAUCGUUCCAUCGUCUGCGGUAUUCGCCGUUGCCAAUGUUUAGAGGACCAUAAAUCUUGCGCAAAACCUUUCUCUCGAAAACCCAAGAGUCGUCUCAUCGGAUGUUGUCAUUGUCCACGCUUCAGCGCCAUACAUCAGGACGGGAAUAAUGAGCGACUUAUAGAGUUUGAUUUUGGUUCGUCGAGAGAGGACUUUUCUUUUCAAUUGCCUACUCAGUCCAAAGUAGCACCUGUUGGCAAGAGUGAUUCUGCGUUGGAUUUCAAGGCUGACAUUGUUGGUGUUGUUAAUGCUGGUUCCCAGAUAAACGAAAUUAUCUACAACUUCAAAGUUAUGACUGUCAACAGUGACGUGGGAGCCAAGAAGCGAGUGCGCUGACUGUUUGUUUGAUGACAGGAGAUAUUUCGUCUUGUCCUCAUUCACCACCAGACCCAUACGCUUCGCUUCUUUAUCUAGUCUGGAAAACGCAGAACAAACGGCGCGGUUGUUGCUUCCGAUGAUAUCAAUAUCAUCGGCAUACGCAUACUGUACACUCUUGUAGAAGAUUGAUAUAUAGAAGAAAUGAUAUACAAAAUUUUAAAUGGGCGUGGUCCCGCCUACUUAUGGGUCAAAAAUCAUAUCUCCGAAACUACUUGAUCAAUUUCAAUGAAAUUCGGUUUGUAAUAUUUUCCUUGCAUCCCAAUAAUAAGUUGUGAAAAUAGGCCAAAUCGGUUCACAACCACGCCUGCUUACUAUACACCAGAACUUUGAAGACGAUCUGAAUCGUUUUCUUUACAAUAUGUAGGGUAAGCACUAGUGAAGAAAUCGGAACAGAACUUUGCACAAAUACUAUAUUUAUAGUGCGGCAUCGCCCUUCUAAAAAUCGUCGAAAUCGGACCAUACAUUUUCAAGGCCCCAUAUAUCGAACAAGAGGACCUCAGGGGUUCUUGUUUUUUUUUAUCGGAAAUAUAAUUAAGUCUCUCAGAUAUUUUGAAGAAAUUCGGAGGAAAUAUGUUUUUUUUUUAAAUAAUAUGUCUCCGUGCCUAAAAUACGUGAAAUCGGUUUAUAACUUCACCUAACUCCCACAUACAUAAUAUUAGGGUUUCCAACUUUCAAUGGACUUUAUGUGGGUCAAAUUGUGUGUAAUAUUAAUGAAAUUAAAUAAAUAAAUUUCGAGAGUAUAAAAUGUUCGGUUACACCCGAACUUAGUCCUUCCUUAUUUGUUGAUAUUAAAUUUAUACAUAUUAUAUAUCUAACAACAGAUACAAUAUGACGGGUAAAAAAAAUUAAAUAAAAUAAUAUUAGGGAUUUCAUUUAAAUUAUAACUUACAAGGAUAAACAGUCGAGGAGGCCCUAAAUAUAUUUUCGUUUUUUUUUAACAGAACAACAUUUUUAGAAACUAUGCAACGUAUUUCCAUGGGAACUGGUCACAUUCUUCAAUUUGAUUUUUCUUUACAAUCACAUGCAUUCUUUCAUUGCUAGUGCAUUUCAUCUCCAACUAGUAACGAUAUAACGGCAUAUUUCAAUACUACAAAUAUGCCAUGAAUAAUGUUAUAUCAUUGUGCAUUCAAAUCGCAGGCGCAUGUGAAAGGCUUCGAGCAUGCAAUAUCGGCGAGCAAACAGCUAACAAACGCCAACAAUCUAGAGUAAUCUACAUCGCCGGCAUAUCAUUCAUAUGCAACGUGCAUUUCAUGCAUCAAAACUCCGUUACAGUUGCGAGAGUGCAUAGCAAAAAGGGUAGUAUGCAAUCGUUUUCACCGCGUUCUACAAUUCCACGCGCUGCUGCGUUUCCGUUGCAUAGGCGCAGGCGUUUGCUAUUUGUAAAUGCCACUCAUUCUUGCACGCCCGCCAUAAAUCGACUUACAAACUGGCGUAUAAAAAGCGUUUUGCAAUCUCGCAGCUAGCAAAAAACACAAAUACCUUUGCAAAUCAGCAAUCGAAAACAUGGCUGUUUGAAUUCGUUUUGUUUUUUUGUUUUUGCGCAGCUUCCGCACUGGCUUCUGCAAGUUCGCCUCGUUUUGUCAUGUUCGGCGUGCUGUGCAAAUUCAUAGAAUGCACAUAUGUGCGCCGUAAUGUAUGCCAUGAAACAUGUGUUUCUGUCAGUGGAUUUGCUUUCCGGCAAAAGUAGUAUUUGCCAGGCGUGUAUCUUCUUGUGUAUGAUAAAUUUGCUAUUCAAUUAGAAUGCUUUGUUUUGCAAAGCGUUCUUCCUCUACUCGCGCAUAGCCUCACUGUUACUUUCGAAAUUUCUGAAUUCCCGGUUUUUGGUAGCAAAUUUACGAGCGUCAAAUAGUGAAAAUACAUAAUAUGUAUUAUACGCUUAUUUACAGUUAUGAUAUAUGAUAUCCUUAUAUUUUGUACUAUUCGUAACGAAAUGCAUUGAACGUCCAUAUACAGUGCUGGUCAUAUAAAUUUUAUUGAGUAUAAGCAAAGAAAACCAGCUGCGAGAGUAAAUUGUAGGCUAGGCGAUUAAGUUAAUUGUGAUUUCGUGAGAGUGAAAGAGAGCGAGCUACUAUGGGAGAAGCAAUACAGUUGUUAAGAUGCUUUUUGACGCACAAACAACCUAACAACUGUGCCUGCAGCCUUCCUAAGUGGCUUUAGAGCAACUUAUUCGUAGAGAAAAAGAACAUAGAUGUACCACAGUCACCGAACAUGCAAUACAGCAACAGCACUAUUAUUGAGACAACUUCUCAACUGACUUUGUCGACUAACUGUGCACAAGAAUAGCUUACAUAUAAGUGUAGAUACAGUGCUUGCAAAUAAAUAAAAAGUAAGGUACACGUAGUGGUAAGCAAAAUUUUACCUGAACGCUUCAAAAACAUGUGGCUCACAACACAACGCACAACGGAUUGUAUUGUAAGAGGCUGUAGUUCAGCUCCAUCAAUUUACAUAUAUACAUAUAUGUCGUUGUGUACCAGUGCUGGCUUGGCAACUGCAUUUUAGGCUUAAAAGAAAUAUAAAAACCAAAACUAAAACUGUAUUUUUUAACGUCGCUCCCACAUUUCUCCAAUAAAAAAAUAAGAAUGUUGGCUCUUAAGUAAAUUGGCUGUAUGAUUGAGUGGCUGCCGGUUCAUGUUGUUAUUUGUUGUUUGUUUGCUGCCGGAAGUGGCUAAAGUUUUAAGAGGAUUACGCAGAACAAUGUCAUAUUCAUGCGAACUAAUACUUUAUAGGGACUUCAUGAUGGUGAUGAUGAUGCAAAAAGCCUUCACUAAUUGUUGUAAAGGAAUUGACCGGAGCUAAAUUUCCUUACGGUAGUUUUAAGUGAUACUCGAAUUUGUAUUUUGUAAGUGGAAAAAACUGACGAGAUGCAGUGUGAUGUUUUUCACUAUUAAGUACUUAGCAGUGAAGGUAACCGUUUUAUGCCGAUAAUGCCAAUAUAUCCGUCAAUAUGAACUGUGCUUGCUACAAAGCUUAAAUAUUUUUCCAGCUCUGUCACUUUAUUACAGCCGUUUGUCAUGAGCGAAUUACUUGGCAGUCUGCAUCUCACAUGUCCAGCCAACAGACAAAAAGAAGAAUAUGUGACGCAUACGCUUACUAUUAAUAAGAAUAAUAUUUUGUUUUUGCAGAGGUGUACAUAUGUAUUUGUAUAAAUAUUUGCAUGUCAACUUGAAUUUUCGAUUCUCACAUUUAUAUACAUAUGUAAGUGGGGAUCAUGCGCUUGCUGGUUAAAACUGCGGGUGUUUUCUGUCACCUCUUUUCUUCUGUAUGUUGUCGUAGUUGCUGUUGUUGUAUGUACACAUUGUCUGUCGCAUUACUUUUGUGAAAUUCCAAUUCGAUGGCACAUGCGGCUUGUAGGCAGCUGUUUAAUGCACGGCUGGAGUUAUUGGCGGCCAUUUAUGCAUCAUUUCCGCUGUGCGCUCGAUUUUUUGCUCCUCCUAUUGUUUAAAUGCCAACAACACUUGCAAGCGAAUGUAUGACUGUGGUCUGCUGUGUCUUCACGGUUGCACGUAAGCGGCUGAUUGCAGCUGAGUUGUGGCGCACACACACAUACAUACAUGCAAAUGAAUGGCCUGACACCGGCAGUUGCAUAUAAUUCGCUCGCCUUUUUGCGCAUAUGUUUGCAUGGCAUGGCAUAAAUUAUUCGCCAUUCGCGGUUGCCGUGCGUGCUGUCGGUGCGAGUUGUUGUCUGCAUGCGUUGCUACGUGUGCGUAAGCUCAAAAGCUCGAAAGCGGAAAGCUGACAUUAACAUAUAACAUAAAGUCUUUGUAUCAUAUAUAUUUAUAUAAAUGUGUUGAUGCGCAGAAUACUCAGCACGCAAUUGUCAAUAUGUAAGCUGAUGGCACAGCCGUAAACCGGCCGCUUAUAUGCGCGUGCGCUCGUAUUGUCACGGAAAUUUAUGUUAAUGCAGCGUAGAUUUUAUGGCCAACACCAUUGGCCGCAUUAUCGUAAAUAAAGUAGCACUUUUGUUGCUGUAAUCUUAUAUUUACACGCAAGCUUACACGCAAUUACAUGUGAGCUUUCACCGGAAAUGUGUGGGUGAUAGUAUUUUGGAGCAAUUUUUGGAGCAAUUGAUGCCGUAUAUAAUAUGCAAUAAAUUCUGUACCGUUGUUAGUGUUUUCAUUAUGAAAUGGCAAAUCAAACUCAAUAUAAAUCAAGUAACAGCUGUCAAAAAGACCAAAUUCGAAAAAAGAAAACUGAAAAUUCUUCUUCUUCUUGACUGGCGUAGACACCGCUUACGCGGUUAUAGCCGAGUCCAAAACAGCGCGCCACGUAUCCCUGCUUCUGGCAGUUUGGCGCCAAUUGGUUAUACCAAGCGAAGCCAGGUCCCUCUCCACCUGGUGCUUCCAUCGGAGUGGAGGUCUCCCUCUUCCUCGGUUUCCACCAGCGGGUACUGCAUCGAAUACUUUCAGAGCUGGAGCACUUUCAUCCAUUCGAACAACAUGACCUAGCCAGCGUAGCCGCUGUUUUUUUUAUUCGCUGGACUAUGUCUAUGUCGUCGAAUAACACAUACAGCUCAUCGUUCUAUCGUAUGCGGUAUUCGCCGUUGCCAAUGUUUAAGGGACCAUAAAUCUUCCGCAAAACCUUUCUCUCGAAAACUCCUAGUGCCGUCUCGUCGGAUGUUGACAUCGUCCACGCUUCUGCACCGUAAAGUAGGACGGGAAUGAUGAGAGACUUGUAGAGUUUGGUUUCUGUUCGUCGAAAGAGGACUUUACUUUUCAAUUGCCUACUUAGUCCAAAGUAGCACCUGUUGGCAAGAGUGAUUCUGCGUUGGAUUUCCAGGCUGACAUUGUUAUUGCUGUUAAUGCUGGUUCCCAGGUGGACGAAAUUAUCUACAACUUCAAAGUUAUGACUGUCAACAGUGACAUGGGAGCCAAGACGCGAAUGCGCUGACUGUUUGUUUGACGACAGGAGAUAUUUCGUAUUGUCCUCGUUCACCACCAGACCCAUACGCUUCGCUUCCUUAUCCAGUCUGGAAAAAGCAGAACUAACGGCGCGGGUGUUGUUUCCAAUGAUAUCGAUAUCAUCGGCGUACGCCAGGAGCUGUAAACUCUUAUAGAAGAUUGUACCUUCUCUAUUUAGCCCUGCAGCUCGUAUUAUUUUCUCCAGCAUCAGGUUAAAGAAAUCACACGAGAGUGAGUCACCUUGUCUGAAACCUCGUCUGGUAUCGAACGGCUCGGAGAGGUCCUUCCUGAUCCUGACGGAGCUGAAAAAAACUGCACGUCGAAAAAAAGCAACCGUUAAAAUCCUCAGGCAACUCAAAACUUCAGAUCUUGUUCUGUUUCAUAGUGAAUAUGUUUGAUAUCAUAUUAAUUGUACUGUCUGAUCAAAUACAGUAGAACUUCCAUUACUCAAACUUCAAUAACUCGAAGUUCUCCAUAACUCGAACUCUUAAAUUGGCUAUAGAGGUCAAGUUUCUUACAAAUUUCCUUCCAUAAAUCUAACUUUUCGAUCAGGACAUAAUACAAAAUUUAAAAUAUGCCGAUCAAGGAACAAUUUUAAAGGAGUCCCUCCCCAUAUUCGUAUGGAGGCGAACAAAAAAUAUGAUAUUACACUAAUGGAUUUCAUAAAUCCUGUAACAAAGACAUGGGAUACAUACGUCAAGAGCUAAACAAUAGCAAAGUGCAACAAACAAAAUUACAGAAUACAUGCUAUAAUGUAUUUAAAUAAAACUAUUUGCGAAGUCAAUAACUAAAACUGUGGUUAAUCUAAAUAUAUUUUACAACUUUUUGAAAAAUGUAUAUUUUAAUUAUUUAAAUUUAUAUAACUCGAGGUCUCUCUAACUCGAAGAUUUUUUGUUUGGAUUAGGAUGAUUCGGGUUAUAUUAUAAUAUGCAUUAUGGCAACUUUUUAUAGAAAUUUUAUAGCAAAAUUUAAUAGAAUUGCAAUAAAUUUUAUUUUUCUUUAAAAUGCAAUAUUUUAACUUUUUAUAAAAAAUUAUAAUUAUUUUCUCGCUUCAAAGCAUCUAAAAUCGUCUAUAGGUGCUAGGGAAAAAGUUUUUUCCUUUACAAGUAAUUGCUUAAUAUGAGAACCAAUAAAUUUUUUGCACUAUAUACGCACACUAUAUCUUUUAAUCUGAAUCUCCAUCAAAUGAAUAACAUUUGUUCUCGUUCCUCAACGAGCAAACGGCUUGCUUUACAGCAAACGCCCACACAGUCCAAUUUGCCCAAAUUCGUUGAAUUUUUGAUUACGAAUUUAUAAACCGUUGCGCACAACAGUCAGCAUCCAGAAAACCACUAGAAGAUGUGAAUGCACGCGAAAUUUCAUCGCUUCUUUCCGCUAGCGCUACGUCAAAAAUAUUCAUACGCCUGGUCAAGCAGAAAGCCAUUUUUUUAUUUUUAUUUUUUCUGGGUUGAGCACGAAAAAGUUAAAAUUAAACAGAUUUUCGCUUUAAAGUGUUGCAGGGCGAAUGCAAAAAAAUAGUGAAGCGGAAAUAAAGAAAUUAUUCGAAAAUGAAAAUUGCCGCAGAAUCAUUAACAACGCAUGCUCGAUUGCUGACGCAUUCACCGGCUGGGUUGUCACCUACAAUAUUUAUAGCACUGUUACUAUGGAAUAAUGUACAUAUGUAUGUACUUACUAGCGCCGCAGCAGUGGCUGCCAUGCCAUGCUGACGUUUGAGCUUUUAAUGGCACAGCAGCAUUUUAAAGUCAUUAGCAUCAUUUGAUCAUAAAUUUAAAACGGAUACUUUGCCACAGUGAAGCGUCAAAUUUUAACGCUACAAACACAUACAUGCACAUAGCAUGAGUAUUUGUGGUAGUAAUGAAGGGAAUUGUGUGCGUGAGUGCGACGUUGUGGCUGUCAUGCAAUGCAUGCUCAACACCUUUUGCACCAAAUUUGCGUGUGGCUGUGUAUGUAAACUGCACUUUAAUGCCGCCUAAAGGCAUACUACAUACCCGCGAACACUCGUUUUCAACUUUACCAUUUUGUGUCACUACAUACACACACACACACGAGUUGACGCCACAACGCGCUCUAUUGCUUCGCAUACCUGCCGCUCAAUGAGCGGAAAUCGCGACAUUUUACAGAAAAUGCAGUUAAAAAGUUUGCACAAAAUGCUUUAUAUAUAACCCCCGCUUACUAUUUUUCCCCUACACACUGCACUGUCAGUGGGUUGUCUUCAACGUGGCUGUACGGCACUUGUGUGAGUUGGUAUUUGCUUGUCGCAUUCCGUUCGCUGCGUCGCUACAGCAGCUAUGCAGGCGCGCUUGGUGCUCGUGAAUCUUGCACUGAGAAUUUCUUAGCAUAACUUUAGGCGCCACUUUAAGCAUUGACUCCAGCAGCAAUUCACCUUAGCCUGCAAUAGAACGACAUCGCAAUUACAUAUUCACCAAAACACAUUUCCCCCAAUAUUCCAGUGAGAAAUAUAAUAUUUUAUGAAUUUUAAGAAAAUCAUUGCAAAAUUACAUUACAGUUAACUCGAGUUUAUUAUCAAACACAAAAUCUCUGCUUUAUUUUAACAUUGAAAAAACUCUCAUCAACAUUUUUUAUAAAUGUAAGCAACAUCUUUACAAAAAAUUUUAGCCUCUAGCUCUCUGUAGCAACAUUUGCAGAACGAUAAGUCAUACAUGUUUAUUUAUGCCUACAUUUUUUUUUUGCAAUUCAGAGUAAAGUAUUUCAUCGUCAUUUUACAGGAACUGACCAAAUCUCCUAUAUAACCAAUAUAUCGAUACUAAAAUUAUUUAAGAAAUAUUUAAAGUGUUCACCAUUUUUCCUGUUGGAUGGACGAACUUUUCGCAUAAUCUAAUUUCGCAUAAUGUACAUAUACAGCCUUGGCAAAAAGUAUUAGGCACCCCAUUAAAAUACAAGUAUUCUCAAAUGUGGCUAUCAAACUUUACCACUUCUUUUUGUAAAUGUCUUACAUGGGUGUUUAACUGUUGAUUAAACGAAUAACGAAUUAAAACGAAACGAAUAAAAAAAAAAAAAAUUAAGCUAAAACUAAAAAUUGUCCUUUUUAAGAAAUUCAUAAAAUAUUUUAUAAUAUUUUUUUCUUAUUUUUAUUUUUUUUUUUAAUGUUAUUAUCACUAAUACAUUGUAUUUUCACUGUUUUACUAAUAAAACUUCAUUAUUUCACUUGCUAAAACAAAAAAUUCAGUAAUUAAUGGGGUGCCUAAUACUUUUGGCCAAGGCUGUACAUGUGUGUUCAAAAAAUAACGGGAAUUUUUGUGUUUUUCAAAAAAUAUUAUUUCAUUUUUCUACAUUAAUGUUGUCACCUUCACCCUAUAUUAAGCACUCCUGCUAUCAACAUUAAAAAAAAUAAAUAAAAAUAAAUUUAUUAGCGGACUUUUGGAAGAAUUCCCGCUAUUUUUUGAACACACCUCGUAUAUAUGUGUAUUUAGUUUGCAUUACGAUAGCAACUGUUUUGCAUAUGUUCGGUGGUCUCUCCGCUCUCAUGUAUAUGUUCGUGUAACGACAGCAGCGUUUUUUUCGUAUACACAUCUGCACUCAUGUGCAGCAGAAAUCCUAUAAUCCUGCGUUGAAAUUAUAAUGAGUAAAGUUUCCACGCAAGCAAGUAUUCGUAUGCAUAGUAACAGAAUUUUUUUUUUUUUUUUUUCAAAUAAUUCCCGUAUUUUGCUCACACUCAAUUUCAUUUGGCUUUUGCUGCCAGUUGCAGUUUAAUGCAACUGCAUGUAGUAUCUACAUACAUUUAGUAUGUUGUUAGUUUUGUUGUAAUGAAUAUUAUGGGAAUUGCUUUUCAGCCUUGUUGUUGUAAGCAGAUACUUUUGAGCACACACACUAAGCCAACUGCGACUGUUUGCCGCUCGGCGAACUUGUGCGUGUUUUCAAAUAUGUUUUCUAACGGAUUUGCAGCGUAAUUUAGGUUCGUAAAAGAUGGCAGUGUUUUAUUACUUCCGUAUGUUGUUAAGAAUUUUUCGAGAUUACGCGUUUAGUUUGUCCUUAGAAAUUUAUUGAAACUUGAGUUUUCGUUAUAACAAUUAAAAAGCUUUGCAGCUUUAAGCUCUCUGCACUAGACUUAUCUGAUCUUUUGGCUUUCAACACAUAUUCAGCAUAUGAGAGUGAUAGCUGAAUAAAGCGCUGAAUGCCAAGGCGAUUGAAACGAAAUUGUCAAUAAAUUAAGCCAGACUUUAGGAAAUAGCUUUAAGAAAAAAACCUUAUCUUUUACCUGUAAUUAAAAACCGAAGUUUUAAAAAUCAUGACAAUUCUAGAAUGACUAAUAGUUCGAUGAGGGUUAUGGAUUGUCUGUUGUGCUACCUUAAGUCCUUCGUGUCACUUGAUUCGUCGUGGCAAGUUAAUGCUGUUGCAUAUGUUACGGCGCUAAGUUUAAUGCCAUUUCGUCCGCAAUCAUAAAUACGUAAAGACAUAAUACGCAAUCAUACAUACAUACAUAGAUACGCAUAUUAACAAGAAACGGCAAAAGUGUCGAGCAGCACAUCGAUUUCUGCGCCGACAGCGACAGCAAUCGCAUAAAAAAUCUGAGAAGCGCAAAUAAAAUUCUCGAGAUAUAUGCUUUCCCUCGCAUUUGAUAACGGUUUAUAUGUAUGUGUGUGUGUUUGUAAAAGCAAUUUGUUGACGAUGUAAAUUUUUGAAAGUGUGUCAUUUCCUUCGCCACCUUUUUCGCGUUGCAAGUACGCCACCAUAUUGCCGCACCGCACUCCGGAAAAGUUCUAUUUGACUUGAGCUCAUUCUCGCUUCAUUUCUUUUCAUAUGCAUAUUCGCAAUUUCAAAUGUACCUUUGCAUUUGCUUUUUAUCUCAUUGAACUUCACGAUUCAGAUUGAUUUUCUCAUCACCUUGCCAUUUUCAGUCCUUACAGACGCAUGCAUAUGUACAUGUUGCUGCUGCAAGAAGUGCCUCCUCGUGUUGAUGUUGAUAAUCUAAUGAAAUUUUGAUUUCAUUGCAAGCAAGCAUAUUUUGCAAUGUAGAGAUUCAUACAAAUCACCUUGAAAAUUCAUAGAAUCCGAGCUACAUAUAAACAUUGACAUUCUUACAUAAUGAGGUCAUAGGUCAAUUAUGAGGUUUGUGCAAUGCAGUUAGAUGAUUUUUUGUUUUUGUAAAAGUAGGCCUUUUCGAUACCCACUAUAAUGAAGUAAUUUAGGGCUGAUCAGAUAGAUAGUGAGUAUAAAGGAACCAUCCUUGUUGAUUGUCUCAUCUUUUCCAUUGCCACAGCGACAGCAUAGUUAUAGCUAAAUGAGAGGCAAGAAUACUAUGGCUUGAAAUUAAUUGUUUCAUUGUAGAUGUACUAAGGAGUUCAAUUAACUGCUAAAUUUGUUGUUAAUAUCCGGGGUUUACUUUGAGUGCCUGGUUACAAUAUCCAGCUUACAUUUUCGAUAUUUUUAACCAGCUUUGUUUAAAUUGGAUUUUUGGAGAUAAAUAAUCUCCUACCAUUUGUGUUAAUGCUCGUUUUUUCGCAAUAAAAUAUACUCAGAGAAUUUGUUAUAUUGUAUUCUCAAAAAAUCUACCCCCUUAUUUCAUUAAUUUGUCCUUUGUUCGGCGUUGUGGUUUCUGAAAACACUGAACUGCAUUCGAAUUUCUCUUAUUUGCCAUUACUGGUCUCUGAAUGCUGACUCCUCUACUUCAUUCCGUGCGUAUAUUCAUUUCUGUACUUUGAUUUUCGGCAUUGUAAGAAUCUUCGAUAAGUUAUAGUUUCCUUUUCUUACUUGCAACAUACGAGUCCUUUGUUGCUUGCUGUGUGAUUGCGACUCUGCCAAUGAGAGAAUGCGAGUAUUGCUGUCACAACACAAUACAUUUCAUUCAUUAUACUAGUGUUCAGAGUGCUCUUAUUGUUGUUAAUAAAUAUCGUAUUUUCCCUGCAACCACAUACUCGCUACGAAAUGACCUCAUGUCCUGACACCGCACUCGACAUAGCACGACAAUUGUUGCAUGGCAUUCAAUCAACUCGCAUGGAAAUCUGUUAAUCAUUGUUCUAUUAUACAAUAGUACAGUUGCAUUUCUGUUGAAAACCAGCUACUGGCAGAAGAAGCAGAAUUCAAGAAUGUGAUAGUGGAGGAGAGUGAAUAAUAUCUUCAGGUCAUCUUUAAGUAAGAAAGCUUUACACUGACUAAUUUACAUGGUCUUGUAGAACAUGAUUUACGCAUCUCUCGUAGCCUUAAGUACUGUAUGUGUGUACAAUAUAUUACAAUUUUGACAUUUCUCUAAUAGUUUUCAACUUUGAAAAUUCUCUACAUUUCCCACAAAUUGCUGCGCAAAUAUUUGCUUAGUUAAAUUCGAGUGGACCAUUGUGAAAUUGAACAAAACGAGUUCAAUUGUCCACUUUAUUUGUUUUGUUCAAACAAAUCUGUUGUAAAAAUUUGCCAAAACUUAAAUAAGUUUUUACUAAGUUCUCAAAUGUCAAUAGCAAGAAGACACAAGUCCAGUACUACACUACACUCUCACACACUCGAAAUGCCGUAAGCAAAGAAAAGUUUGAUCAACUGUCUCAUAGGAAUGUGGGUAAUUUGAAUAACUUUGCAUGCUGGCCACUUGGUUUUUGUUGACAUGAAGGGAUAUGCAACACUACAAAAAUGCACAUAUGUGAGUUAUGGUGUUUGUUAUGUACAAAUAAAACAUAUAAUAUAUAUAAAUAUAUAAUAUAUAUUUUUUGGUGAAUUAAAUUUUUCAUUAUGCUUAUAAAUUAUUCUCUUUCACAAAGAUUUUUGUGUUCUAUUUUGUAAAGUUUGAUAUACAGUGGAACUUCCAUAACUCGAACUUUUGAAGAGGCAUUAGAAGGCAACUUUCAUACAAAUUUCCUUCCAUAAAUCGAACUUUUCGACAAGGGCAUAAUACAAAACUAAAAAUUUUUCUAUCGAAGUAGAGUUUUAGAAGAGUCCCUCUAUAUCUUAUGGAGGCGAACAAAAAGUAUGAUAGUAUUACACUUCUGAAUUGCAUAAAUCAUGUCACAAAAGCAUGGAAUACAAACGUCAAGAGCCAAACAAUUGCAAACUGCAACAAACAAAAUUCAGAAUACAUGUUUUAACGUAUGAACAUAAAACUUUUUGCGAAUUAAUUAAAUAAAACUGGGUAUAAAUCUAUAUUUUAUUGCUUUUUGAAAUAUUAUAUUUUUUAAUGAAAAUUUCUAUAACUCGAAGUCUCUCUAACUCGAAGAUUUUUUGUGGAUUAUGGUGAUUCGAGUUAGAGAAGUUCCACUGUAAUUGGAUGAAGUUGAGAUUUCUCGUUUAAAAAUAAAAAUUUGUUAUUUUUAUUAAAAACUUUGGGGGAGAUAUCGUUAGUGAGGCCUCAUAAUCUUUUAAAAUUCGCGUCAGGCGCUGGCAACAUAACCGAUCACUACUACUCAGGGAAUACGUAAAUACGUAGACCAUUAUAACUGGUCUAUGCGGAGCCUUUUGGCCCACCAGGCAAACCUAACCUAACUUUAUACAAGGCACUUCUGCAGUACUAGCGCACUAAAACUAAAAGUAAUGUAAUCUAAAUAACAAAAACAAUAAAUUUUGACAAAAAAAAAAACCAAAUUUAUUGACAAUUAUUGGACUGAAACUUAAAAAUGUAGUUGGAAACAAUAUUAGAAACCAUCAUUUCAUUUCAAAGUGGCGGUCGGUAUCCCCCAUUUGUUACACCAAAUAAAGCUAAAACCCACACAAAAUUUUAAAUAUUAAUAUUAAAAAAUAAAAAAUAAAUAAAGCUUCUAGAGUUUAUUUUAAAGAAAAAAUAAAUCUGACUUUUAAAUCCACAUUUAAAACUCCUGAUAUUACACAGCAAUUGUAUUUUUAAAUAUUUGUUUAAUUUCUAACUACCGUUUGCAGACAACUUUUAUUCUGAUUUUUUUUUUUUUGCUGAGCUCUUAUAAGUUGGCUUUAUAUGUUUUAACCCUCUCAUGCCCGAAUUAAAAUGAGCGGAGCCAACAUUCUUUUUAGCACAGAUAUAUAUUAGUCUUAACUCAAAUAUGAAGUGAUAAAAAUUUCAAAGUCCUAUGUAUCAUGGUUCAUUAGUUACAGGAUGUUGCUUAUAGGCACAAAUUAAAUUAUUAUAAAUAAACUAAACACUUUUCUCAUGAAAUUUAUUUUUUAAAUAAAUCUCUUAUCUUUACUUAUUAAUAUAGUUCACUUAAGUUUUAAAAUAAAAUAAUUAUUUUUAUGUUAUUGAACAUUUUUUGUAUAACCACUUUGGUAUAACUUUUUUCGCAAAACCGAUUUUGACAAUUCCACACUGCGGAGAACGACUACUGAAUGAAUACAACUCAUACCAAAAAAUGUAACUGUAAGCUUGCAUAACACAUAAGUCUACAUAAUUUAAAAAAAAAAAAACCGUUGGUAAAAAGAUAAAUUUAAAUAACGAGAAUUAGAAGCCGAUAAGUACAAUUUUGCCUAUAGGCCACAUUGGGCAUGAAAGGGUUAAGUAAAAUUGAGCUGCAAUUGCAAGUAUUUUAUUUAUCAACGUAUAUACAUAUAUAAAUAUAUGUAUGUUGUGUCACAUUUGCACAGUUCCAAGUAAAUACACUAACAUAAGCUAUAAAGGAAACACUUGUCCAUGCAUGUGUGAAGACCAUAUUUAUGAAGAGUAAAUAAAGACUUGCAAUUCUCCUUCUGAACUCUGCAAAUAAAGCAGCAAAAGCAUGUGAAAGGUGAAAAUAUUGAAAAUGCUCGAAGCUACUAAGCGUCUUUGCUUGACACACAGUAUAUGUCUACAAUGGUCAGUGUGGUGCGCAGGAGAUUUUUAUUGUAUCACUCUCAUGGAAAAUGGCAUAUACAUGCUUUUCAAAGGAAAACGUAAACUUGUUGUGAUUCUAGGUAAAAAUAGCGAAUAAAGAGAGGUUAAAUAAAAAUCGAAGAAUUGACAAAGAGACCAAGUUAAGAAGGAUGACCAAUGGCCAUUGUUGCACUUGUCGACCGCUAAGAGCUAUCAAUACAAAUAAAUUACAAAAAUUAUAUUUACAAUACAAGAUAUAUACUGUGCCCAAAAAAUAAGGUGACAUUUGAAUUUAAACUGCGCGCUUCGGAUUUGGAGAAUUAUUUUUUUUAGGUUGGUAGUCAGUCACAUUUAUGUCAAAUUUCAUGUCAAAAUAUUCAUUAGAGUUUGAGAUACGUGUCGUUUUGUGAGCUGCUAAAAAAAGCCUUUGGUGAUGAGGCUAUGUCUAAAAAAAUGUUUACAAGUAGUAUAAAGAGUUCCAAGCCGGCCGUGAACGUGUCGAACACGAAGAGUGUCCAGGGCGACCAUCAACCUCAACCAACGAAGCUCACGUUCAACAAAUCAAAGAUUUGGUGUUGAAAAAUCGUCGAUUAACAAUUAGAGACC